UACGGGGGGAGCAAGCGUUGUUCGGAUUUACUGGGCGUAAAGGGUGCGCAGGCGGAUAUGUAAGUCAGUGGUGAAAUCUUUGGGCUUAACCCGAAAAUUGCCAUUGAUACUAUAUAUCUUGAAUGCUGUGGAGGUAAGCGGAAUAUGUCAUGUAGCGGUGAAAUGCUUAGAGAUGACAUAGAACACCUAUUGCGAAGGCAGCUUACUACGCAGAUAUUGACGCUCAUGCACGAAAGCGUGGGGAUCAAACAGG
rnacentral:rRNA from 1 species